GCAUACCAGGUGAGUGCGCUACCACUUGAGCCACAUCUCCAGCCCAAUUCUUACUUCUUCUUCAAAUAAUUUUCCUGAUAGUCACAAAGAAUCUACCAGGAGCAUCACAGCCUCUCAGUAAUGAGGUCACAAACUUUACCUCCUCUAUCUGUGAGAGAUUGAGGAAGUUACUACUCCUGCUGAGGGACCAAUAUCAUCCUUUUAGUUUAAAUGAACUAGCUUAUGUCAUGUGCAGUUUCUGGAUCAAUAACUAUGUUCUUCAGGAAAAGACUUUGUGAGAUGUAGUUUAAUCAUGUAUUCCUGAAACAGUUUUUAGGAAUAGGGAUCGUUGAGUAUGGGCAGAUAUUUUUCAUUUACUCUGGAUUUGGACUUACUGCAUGCUAAUACAUAUUGUACACAUGAAAUGCAAUGAUAAAAGUAGACAAGGUCCAGGCUGGGAUUGUAGCUUAGUGAUUGAGCACAACUCUUAUGCAUCCACCUACAACUAAAAAAAAAAAAAAGAAAAAGAAAAAGAAAAGAAAAGAAAAAAAUAUAGACAAGAUAGAUUUUUAUCAUUGCAUUUCAUGUGUACAAUAUGUCUUUAAAGAGCUUAUAUUUCAAUACAAAAGACAUAAAAAUAAUUUAUAUUUAAUAUACAAUGUGCAAUAUGAUCAUAUAUUUACCAUUUACCAAGAAUGUUCAAUAUGCAUGUGUGCAAGUGACAUAAAACAUGUGAAAACAGGCCAGGGUUGUGGCUCAGUGAUAGAGCGCUUCAUGUGUGAGGCACUGGGUUUCAUCCUCAGCAACAUGGAUUCCCUUCAGUAGAUAAAUGGAUAAAGAAAAUGUGGUAUAUGUACACAAUGGAAUAUUACCCAACAAUAAAAUACAAUAAAAUCAUGGCAUUUGCAGGUAAAUGGAUGGAGUUAGAGAAUAUAAUGCUAGGUGAAUUUAGCCAAUCC
rnacentral:lncRNA from 1 species